AUUGAACGCUGGCGGCAGGCUUAACACAUGCAAGUCGAACGGCAGCACGGGUGCUUGCACCUGGUGGCGAGUGGCGAACGGGUGAGUAAUGCACCGGAACGUACCCAGUAAUGGGGGAUAACUAUCCGAAAGGAUAGCUAAUACCGCAUACGCCCUGAGGGGGAAAGCGGGGGAUCGAAAGACCUCGCGUUAUUGGAGCGGCCGAUGCCUGAUUAGCUAGUUGGUGGGGUAAAGGCCCACCAAGGCGACGAUCCGUAGCUGGUCUGAGAGGACGACCAGCCACACUGGAACUGAGACACGGUCCGGACUCCUACGGGAGGCAGCAGUGGGGAAUUUUGGACAAUGGGCGAAAGCCUGAUCCAGCCAUUCCGCGUGAGUGAAGAAGGCCUUCGGGUUGUAAAGCUCUUUCGCAAGGAAAGAAAACUUACUUACUAAUACUAGGUGAGGUUGACGGUACCUUGAUAAGAAGCACCGGCUAACUACGUGCCAGCCGCCGCGGUAA
rnacentral:rRNA from 1 species